rnacentral:rRNA from 1 species
UACGUAGGGUGCGAGCGUUGUCCGGAAUUAUUGGGCGUAAAGAGCUCGUAGGCGGUUUGUCGCGUCGGCCGUGAAAACUUGGGGCUUAACUCCAAGCUUGCGGUCGAUACGGGCAGACUUGAGUUCGGCAGAGGAGACUGGAAUUCCUGGUGUAGCAGUGAAAUGCGUAGAUAUCAGGAGGAAUACCGAUGGCGAAGGCAGGUCUCUGGGCUGAUACUGACGCUCAUGUACGAAAGCGUGGGGAGCAAACAGG